rnacentral:rRNA from 1 species
AGAGUUUGAUCCUGGCUCAGGACGAACGCUGGCGGCGUGCUUAACACAUGCAAGUCGAACGAUGAUGCUGGAGCUUGCUCCAGUUGAUUAGUGGCGAACGGGUGAGUAACACGUGAGCAAUCUGCCCUUGACUCUGGGAUAACUGCGGGAAACUGUAGCUAAUACCGGAUACUUUCACCGGAAGGCAUCUUCUGGUGAUGAAAGAAUUUCGGUCAGGGAUGAGCUCGCGGCCUAUCAGCUUGUUGGUGAGGUAACGGCUCACCAAGGCGACGACGGGUAACCGGCCUGAGAGGGUGACCGGUCACACUGGGACUGAGACACGGCCCAGACUCCUACGGGAGGCAGCAGUGGGGAAUAUUGCACAAUGGGCGCAAGCCUGAUGCAGCAACGCCGCGUGAGGGAUGAAGGCCUUCGGGUUGUAAACCUCUUUUAGCAGGGAAGAAGCGAAAGUGACGGUACCUGCAGAAAAAGCACCGGCUAACUACGUGCCAGCAGCCGCGGUAAUACGUAGGGUGCAAGCGUUGUCCGGAAUUAUUGGGCGUAAAGAGCUCGUAGGCGGUUUGUCACGUCUGCUGUGAAGAUCCAAGGCUCAACCUUGGACUUGCAGUGGGUACGGGCAGGCUAGAGUGCGGUAGGGGAGAUGGGAAUUCCUGGUGUAGCGGUGGAAUGCGCAGAUAUCAGGAGGAACACCAAUGGCGAAGGCACAUCUCUGGGCCGUAACUGACGCUGAGGAGCGAAAGCGUGGGGAGCAAACAGGAUUAGAUACCCUGGUAGUCCACGCCGUAAACGGUGGGUGCUAGCUGUGGGCCACAUUCCACGUGGUCCGUAACGAAGUUAACACAUUAAGCACCCCGCCUGGGGAGUACGGCCGCAAGGUAAAACUCAAAGGAAUUGACGG